rnacentral:rRNA from 1 species
AACGAACGCUGGCGGCAUGCCUAAUACAUGCAAGUCGAACGAGACCUUCGGGUCUAGUGGCGCACGGGUGCGUAACGCGUGGGAAUCUGCCCUUGGGUUCGGAAUAACGUCGGGAAACUGACGCUAAUACCGGAUGAUGACGUGAGUCCAAAGAUUUAUCGCCCAGGGAUGAGCCCGCGUAGGAUUAGCUAGUUGGUGAG